rnacentral:misc_RNA from 1 species
UACGGAGGGAGCUAGCGUUGUUCGGAAAUACUGGGCGUAAAGCGCACGUAGGCGGCUUUUCAAGUCAGGGGUGAAAUCCCGGGGCUCAACCCCGGAACUGCCCUUGAAACUGGAUCGCUAGAAUAUUGGAGAGGCAAGUGGAAUUCCGAGUGUAGAGGUGAAAUUCGUAGAUAUUCGGAAGAACACCAGUGGCGAAGGCGACUUGCUGGACAAUUAUUGACGCUGAGGUGCGAAAGCGUGGGGAGCAAACAGG